rnacentral:rRNA from 1 species
AGUGAACGCUGGCGGUAGGCCUAACACAUGCAAGUCGAACGGCAGCACAGUAAGAGCUUGCUCUUACGGGUGGCGAGUGGCGGACGGGUGAGGAAUACAUCGGAAUCUACUUUUUCGUGGGGGAUAACGUAGGGAAACUUACGCUAAUACCGCAUACGACCUACGGGUGAAAGCAGUGGAUCUUCGGACCUUUCGCGAUUGAAUGAGCCGAUGUCGGAUUAGCUAGUUGGCGGGGUAAAGGCCCACCAAGGCGACGAUCCGUAGCUGGUCUGAGAGGAUGAUCAGCCACACUGGAACUGAGACACGGUCCAGACUCCUACGGGAGGCAGCAGUGGGGAAUAUUGGACAAUGGGCGAAAGCCUGAUCCAGCAAUACCGCGUGGGUGAAGAAGGCCUUCGGGUUGUAAAGCCCUGUUGUUGGGAAAGAAAAGCAGCAGGUUAAUACCCCGCUGUUCUGACGGUACCCAAAGAAUAAGCACCGGCUAACUUCGUG